rnacentral:lncRNA from 1 species
AGGACUUGACUUUAAAGGAUCGUCACAGAUGGGCUUGAAAGCCUGCGAGCUUCUCCAACUGCAAACAGAACCAAAGUCUCCUUUUACACAAAAGAGCAAGCAGGGCUAGACAGAGCCUGUUUGGGUCAGUGUGAAGAUGUGACAACUGGACUGGAGAAAUCCAUCAACACCCUCAGGAGAGAUGGGGACCAGCUGAGGGGAGGGUGUGGGCCGUAUGAGGUACAGGGAGCCUUGAACUGUGAGAGAGGAGAGAAGUUCGAGUUUGGUUAGCAAGUGGGGACAAAGAGGUCUAACUUGGUCUCAAUGAUGUAAUUGUCUGAGUAGAAAGGGAAAGAAAACCAGAGAAGGAAGUCACUUACUACAUCCUAACCAAGGAGCUUGAAGGUCCUGGAUUGAAAUCCUCAUUGAAUUUCCAGCAGACCAAUUUCAGAACAGAGCCCUCCCUGAGCCGAAUAACCAAAGGCAGAAAGACCUUCUGAACAGAGACAUUGUAGCUGAGAACAGAGCGAAAGUGAGAAACUAAGCCGAGAACAGAGUGAAGUCUUCAACACAGGAACCAUGGCUCUUGGAGGACCCACAAGGGUA